UCACAUUCUACAGUGGAAGCAGAAGGCAUUUGCUGGUGCUACACAUGCAUACGCAGACAAGUACUGCUUUUUGUCAUCUUCAGUCUCAGAGACUGGGUUAUGUGUUGACAGUAAUUCCACAAAACAGCCUCCCAUUCUCCCCCCUUGUCCAAUCUUUCCAAGAAUAUCCUUGAAAUAAGAAAGAUCCUUCUACCUUCUCAGUUUGAGGCACAGACACCUGGGAAGCUGAGCUAGAGUGAAAUUCCUUCAGGUUUAACGCUAUGGAGGUGAAAUCAUCUGUUGCUUUUUUCAACAUUGUUUAAGCAUGGAAAUCACAGAAUAGAGUACAUCUGGAUAAAGUACGAGCAUAAAGACUCCACACAUGAGUUCUUGAAAUUAACUGUCUGCCUAAGAUCUCAGGAAAGUUUGUUGGAUAAAAGAUGGAGAAAAGAGAUCAAUUCCAUGUAAUCUUCUGUAGAAGAGAAGAAAAUCCUCAUUCUCCCUUGUGAACUUCAGUGGAAAAGAAGAUGAACAAAUUAAUACCAUUUCACUAAAUACAGCCAUAAGACAA